rnacentral:lncRNA from 1 species
GGAGGUCUAUCCAUCUGUAGUAAGCCCCUCUCUGUAGCCCUGGAGGUCUAUCCAUCUGUAGUAAGCCCCUCUCUGUAGCCCUGGAGGUCUAUCCAUCUGUAGUAAGCCCCUCUCUGUAGCCCUGGAGGUCUAUCCAUCUGUAGUAAGCCCCUCUCUGUAGUCCUGGAGGUCUAUCCAUCUGUAGUAAGCCCCUCUCUGUAGCCCUGGAGGUCCAUCCAUCUGUAGUAAGCCCAUCACAGGGUUCAUUGGUCAUUUCCAUGUCAACUUCAGCUUCCUUAUAUAGAGCAGGGUACUACUACCUGUUUGCUGGAACGGGCGCGAGAGGGAGAACCCUCUAUUCCUCUCGACUACGGAGAACAGGCGCAUAUCUGCUACUAUAAACAUAUCUAUCGCUCCUGUAGUGUCUUUCGACCGGUCAGAAUCAGCUGCCGAGGGCUGCUUGAGAGCAGAGGGGAGACCAAGUUGUUGUUGUGUGUUUCCGUCUUGCUUCGGCGGCAGUAAUAUACAUGUUUUAAGGUGUUGGCAGCUCCAUAGGCUAUUCUGGUUGAACAACGGAGACAUACUCUCUCUGUCCGUCACCGUUGUAAUCUACCGGGAAGCCUAAAUGUUACCAAAGUGGAGAUUUAAACAAUAGAGAAUUAUCCUGGUUUAUCCUGGUAGGCCCGUCAUUAUAAAUAAGAAUUUGUU